rnacentral:rRNA from 1 species
AGUGAACGCUGGCGGUAGGCCUAACACAUGCAAGUCGAACGGCAGCACAGUAAGAGCUUGCUCUUACGGGUGGCGAGUGGCGGACGGGUGAGGAAUACAUCGGAAUCUACUUUUUCGUGGGGGAUAACGUAGGGAAACUUACGCUAAUACCGCAUACGACCUACGGGUGAAAGCAGGGGAUCUUCGGACCUUGCGCGAUUGAAUGAGCCGAUGUCGGAUUAGCUAGUUGGCGGGGUAAAGGCCCACCAAGGCGACGAUCCGUAGCUGGUCUGAGAGGAUGAUCAGCCAAACUGGAACUGAGACAAGGUCCAGACUCCUAAGGGAGGCAGCAGUGGGGAAUAUUGGACAAUGGGCGCAAGCCUGAUCCAGCCAUACCGCGUGGGUGAAGAAGGCCUUCGGGUUGUAAAGCCCUUUUGUUGGGAAAGAAAAGCAGCAGGUUAAUACCCCGCUGUUCUGACGGUACCCAAAGAAUAAGCACCGGCUAACUUCGUG